CACAACAAAACGAAAUAAAAUUUGCUGUGAUAUACUUUUUGGCGCGUGAGAGAACAGCGGAUGAUGUUUGAUCAGAUAUAGCUGUGAUUUCAAGCAUAAAGGUUGUUCCGUACUUUGGUGCUUUCUAAACAAUCGAGACGAUUGUUGCUGUUUUGCAAUUGCAUCAUCAACUAAAACGCGUUGCACAUCAAUUUGCAUUUGAAGAGUGAGUUUUACCGUAAUUUUUUAUCAUCGAUCGAUCACCAUGGUUAGGCAAAAGCGGCACAACAAAAAUUUCGGCUUGCCAAGGAAAGUGAAAGUGGAAAUGAGAAAGCACUCCAUUGCCAAAAUGCAACGUGUUACGGUGAAAGAUUCAACAGAGCAAAUGGAGGAAAAGGACAAAAUCGAAAUUAGCCUGAUCAAAUUGGCAAUAAAUUCGAUAGUUGUACCGGAAUAUAAUGACAUGCUAAUCAAAAUAUUUUUCGCAAAAUGUUUAAACGCUACGAAAAUCAUGACUCUCGCAUCGCUGUUGAUGUUAUUCAAAGUCAACGAAGCUGUUGAUGAUGACAAUGGAAGAGAAGUCAUUCGCAACAGUUUCAACUCUGUGACGUUGGAUAACAUCAGUGAUCCGAAAACAGCACAAAUGCCAGCCGCAUUUUACGCGAUGGUGCGACAAUGGAGUCCAAAAUUCGAUUGGCCAGUACACAGUCAGAUGACUCGCGCAGUUGACGCUCUCAAUAUAAGACUAAUGUAUAGACUAAUUCGAAAAAGGGUUGUUGGUCAAAAUUGACGGAUUUUUUGCGAUUAAAAUGCUAUCAAUUUAAUUAUAAACUUGUAAAGCCACAAAUAGGGGGGUACAGUGGCUGCUGCGACUACUACGGCACCAUUCACUCACUGAGGUUAAGCUGCAUAUGCUUUGGUCAGUGAUUGAAUGGGUGACCGAUAGAACAUCGUAUGUAAGUUACUAACGUUACUAACGGGGUUUUGAGCCAAAUCGCAUCGGCUUGAUAGCAGCUUGACAGCGCAUCAGCUGGGUAGCAGCUGAAUAGCGCACCAGCUUGAUAGCAGCUGAUAGCGCAUCAGCUUGAUAGCGUCACCUAAGCUUAAGCCUGAGCGACACCUCCUAGCUCCCCAAAUUAAAAAAAAAAAAAAAAAAAAAAAAAAA